CCUACGGGAGGCAGCAGUGGGGAAUAUUGGACAAUGGGCGAAAGCCUGAUCCAGCAAUGCCGCGUGAGUGAAGAAGGCCUUCGGGUUGUAAAGCUCUUUUACCCGGGAAGAUAAUGACUGUACCGGGAGAAUAAGCUCCGGCUAACUCCGUGCCAGCAGCCGCGGUAAUACGGAGGGAGCUAGCGUUGUUCGGAAUUACUGGGCGUAAAGCGUACGUAGGCGGCUUGGUAAGUCAGAGGUGAAAGCCCACGACUCAAUCGUGGAACUGCCUUUGAGACUGCUUCGCUUGAAGAUGGGAGAGGUUAGUGGAAUUCCGAGUGUAGAGGUGAAAUUCGUAGAUAUUCGGAAGAACACCAGUGGCGAAGGCGGCUAACUGGACCAUUCUUGACGCUGAGGUACGAAAGCGUGGGGAGCAAACAGGAUUAGAUACCCUGGUAGUCCACGCCGUAAACGAUGAUAACUAGCUGUCGGGGCUCUUGGGUAGCGUCGGUGGUCGCGAGCGUACGCACUUAAGUUAUACCGUCCGUCGGGUAGGUACGGCCGCGAACGUUAAACGUACGAACGAAGUAGACGGCGUGAGACGUAGCCGACGGACGACCGACGACGGGAGGUAGG
rnacentral:rRNA from 1 species